UCUCGCGUUAGUUUGUGAGAAGCUGAGAUGAAGCCGAGGCUGGGUUUCUUCUCCGAAUUUGCCCGGGCUCCAAGGUCCUGCGUCACCUCACCGGGCUUUGCGCCCACUUGUGACCUGUUCCCAUUCUUACCCAAGGAAAGGGAUGAGAAAUGAAGAAAGCAAGACUGCCCUGACCUUCACGUGCAGAACCCUGGCCUGUGUGGCUGAGCCGCCUUGCGGACUCGAACAGGGGGCACCAUGAUGGCCUGCACGACGGGACUCGGCCAGCACAAUAUUUAUUCCCAUCAAAGGUCGCUACUCAUCGCCAGUUGCUGCUAAUUGUCACUGGAUGCUGCUAAUUGACACUGCUCUCUGGUAGUCACUGGUGCACAGAGCAGGUCUGUAUCUAAUCUGCAUAACUAGGGUAUGCACUAGAACUCUUGUAAACUGACGGGUGGAA